ncrna:unclassified sequences L20-Deltaproteobacteria ribosomal protein leader
ACUCGUGAACUGUGGGGCUAAACGUCUCCCCCUUCAGAUCCGGGUGCGGAAAAAUCCGCCUAACCGACUCACAAGGAG